AGAUUCUAUGAGGUCCAAUUCAAAUGGACAACCAAAACCAAUAACAGACUGACGGAUCUCCUAACAUCAAACUCUAUCCCAAAUUAUA
rnacentral:sRNA from 1 species